rnacentral:rRNA from 1 species
CCCUUAUAUAUCCUGGGCUGCACGCGUGCUACACUGAUGCAUACAGCAAGCUCCGAGCCCGAAAGGGCAAGGUAAUCUCUAAUAUGCAUCGUGAUGGGGAUAGACCCUUGCAAUUAUGGGUCUUGAACGAGGAAUUCCUAGUAAAUGCAAGUCAUCAUCUUGCGUUGACUACGUCCCUGCCCUUUGUACACACCGCCCGUCGCUACUACCGAUACCGGGUGAUAAGGUGAAUUAUUUGGACCUAACGGAAAGAUUCGUUAACACUAUCACCUAGAGGAAGUAAAAGUCGUAACA